AUUGGAGAAGCGAAAUCUAUAAUUUGGAUUCCGAAAUAGGCAAAUGAAUGCGUAUAAAUGGUGAACUUAGUGGCGCCGAGGGAAACUGGGCAGAGAUCAUUCGGUCUUGUGUAGAAGCAUAUUGUGUACAAAGCCAUCUCCAACUCAGAUAAGGAUCCACGUGACGUUCCAUGUAAUGUUCCACGUGAUCUUCCAUGUGUUGAUCCAUGAAAUGAUCCUUUACCGAAACUUAUUUUACUGCCAAACUUAUAUUUUGCGCUAGUACCAUCUAUAAAAAGUAUAUAUGUAACAGAUUAGUAAUAAAAAUAUUGUGUAAAAAAAUAAUCAGACUAUACUUACAGAUUACAAAAAAUACGCAAAUAAAUAUAAGAAAAUACGUCUUGAAUUUCAUUAUUACAGCUUUCCUUAAGAUCAUACUACAUAAUAAGGGGUCAUUGCUAAUGACCUCAGAGAGAUAUGGACAUCUCUGGUAGUGAGAACAACAUUUCUUAACAAGUUUUUAUUUGAUCUCAUUAACAACCUCCACCAGAAAAUACAUAUUUUUUAUAGAAACAUUAAAUUAUAAAACAAGUUUUGUAAACUCUUUUGUACUUUAAACUUAGUAAUGUAACAAUAUACUAAUAAAAAAGUUUUGUGUUAGAAAACAAUUCAUGUUGAUCGUUAUAUUAUAUGUAGAGACGACGAACUUUUUCCCCGCCACGAAUUGAACAAACUACUCUUUUAUUCAGAAUUAGAAAAAUAUGUACAAAACUACAGAGUCUUAGUAACUUAUACUGUGUAAAGUUGUAGAGUGUAAGAGUUAAAUGGAUAUGGGUGGAAUCGCUUUUACAUGGCUCUGCAAGGCAAGAGCUAUAUGCAGCAUGAGAACCAGUGCAUUGUCUCUGUUAUAUAACAUAUUUUUUCUAAAAUAUUGAAGUGGUAUUAAUACAGUCUCUCAAAUUUAUAGAAAUACUGAGAUAAAAUAUUGUCUUUUUAUAAAAGAUAUAGCUUCAAUAGCUUCAAAGUAUUAUCUUAAUUGUUUAUCCUUCUUUUUUAAUAUAUCUAUCCAAAAUUGCUUCACUAGGAUAAUCUGGAACUGAUAAUUGGCGAAAUGCUUCAUCAUCCACAAAGCAAA